UCCUACAUCUGGGGACUGCUCCAGAAACCCUGCCUGAUCCUGCCCCUCUCACUGACAGUCUCCUCGCUGCUCCCUACAUCUUCCUCUCCGCCGGAGCUGUCCAGAAGGGGGAUUUUGGACCCAAAGGAAUCGGGAUGAAAGGGGAUCAGAGUGAGAGGCGCUGGCAAUGGACUAGGAAGCUCGGCUGCCGCUGCUACUGCUCCCCCCUGGGCUCCAGCGAGAGCCUUUCCCUGUCAAGCAAGAGGGGUGAGGAUCAUAUUUUUAUUUUGGAAACUAAAAAGUGCUCCCAGGGUCGGUGAUUAUUAAGGGGAAAUCCCUGAAUAUACUCUCCAGCCAAGAAGGCAGGGCUGCCGGGGCUGUACAAGAAGAGGCAGCAGCCUCCUACAGCACCACUACAGGCACUGCGAGGACAUAACACCAGAGAGCUGCUCCUCUGCCCUCCGAAACGACAACUUUCCUACCAUCUUGGAGGCAGAGCAAAGGGGGGCCAGGGGGAAAAGUGCACCCGCUCCCGAUAAAGUACAAAUUUUUACUCCUCAUCUCUGGAAAAAAGUCCACACCGGCAGUCUACACCGGCGCCUGGGGGAGAAAGCAGGGAAGAAACUGGGGGUGCAUGAGAAACCUUUUCAUUUGCUCCAGGGGGAAAAAUGUUUCUGCAUCUUCUGAUGGAAAGAAAUCAUUACAAGACACAGGUUUUCCGGUGAUUACUGUUUUCUGUUUUCUAUUUCUAAUUUUUUUCAUGUUAGUGACAGUGAUAUUUUAAUAUUUUUUCAGGCCAAUAAUAAUCUCUCUCCAUUACAGGGCUAAGUUCUGUGGCUGGUGGUCAGUUUGUAAAUUUGUACUUAAAGAGACUUAAUAGUAACUUCAUUUAUUUGUCUAGUUAUGUUAUUGUAUAUAUAAAUAUUUACAUGUUUUCAUAUAUUGCAUAUGAAAAUUUGUUACAUGUUACUCUCAAAACUGAGAUUGCUGUAAGACAAUUGUAAAAAACAUGUCUUUCGUCUCUGUCUCAAAGCAAUGUAAAUAAAACCUAUGGACUGUCCAGAAAGGCA